rnacentral:rRNA from 1 species
CUUUCCCUCUGUCGGCAUGCUUUACACAUGCAAGUCGAACGGCAGCGCGGGCUUCGGCCUGGCGGCGAGUGGCGAACGGGUGAGUAAUGCAUCGGAACGUGCCCAGUAGUGGGGGAUAGCCCGGCGAAAGCCGGAUUAAUACCGCAUACGACCUGAGGGUGAAAGCGGGGGACCGAAAGGCCUCGCGCUAUUGGAGCGGCCGAUGUCGGAUUAGCUAGUUGGUGGGGUAAAGGCUUACCAAGGCGACGAUCCGUAGCUGGUCUGAGAGGACGACCAGCCACACUGGGACUGAGACACGGCCCAGACUCCUACGGGAGGCAGCAGUGGGGAAUUUUGGACAAUGGGGGCAACCCUGAUCCAGCCAUGCCGCGUGCGGGAAGAAGGCCUUCGGGUUGUAAACCGCUUUUGUUCGGGAAGAAAUCCUCUGGGCUAAUACCCCGGGGGGAUGACGGUACCGGAAGAAUAAGCACCGGCUAACUACGUG